GACGAACGCUGGCGGCGUGCUUAACACAUGCAAGUCGAACGGAGUGGCGAACGGGUGAGUAACACGUGGGUGACCUGCCCUGUACUUCGGGAUAAGCCUGGGAAACUGGGUCUAAUACCGGAGAGUGUGGGAUGGGCCCGCGGCCUAUCAGCUUGUUGGUGGGGUAAUGGCCUACCGAGGCGGCGACGGGUAGCCGGCCUGAGAGGGUGGACGGCCACGUUGGGCCUGAGAGACGGGCCAGACUGCAACGGGGGGCAGUGGGGGGGAGGAUUGCACAAUGGGCGGAAGUCUGAGGCAGAGACGUCGCGUGGGGGAUGACGGCCUUCGGGUUGUAAACUCCUUUCACCAUAGAAGCGGUAGAUGGAGAAGAAGCACCGGCUAACUACGUGCCAGCAGCCGCGGUAAUAC
rnacentral:rRNA from 1 species